CACUAGCAGACUUAUUCUGGUCUAUAUAAAAUUUAAUAUCUGAUCUCUAAUACUCGAUUUUAGCGGGAUAGGGGCGGAAAUCUGAAAGUAAAGCAAAUAAAACCCUCCUAAAAUAUAUUCACUGUGAAAUCUCGCUAGACAUUCACUUUCAUCCUAAAAUCUCUCCAAAAAUAUUACUUUCAUGCUACAAUCCCUAAUUAUGCAGCAACUUCAAUUCUUUUCUAAGUUCACAAAGGUUGCAAAAUUCAUCUGUCAGAAUUCAGAAGCUUGCAAAAUUCAUCACUCCGAACUUUGGCGUCAAAAUUUUGAUCUCUCUCCAAGGGACUUUACACAAACUCUACUAUUGGAUUAUCUGCCUAUCAAGAAUUUGGACCACUCGGAGUUGGAUACUCAUGGCAGGAACAUGAUAUCGGAUUGAUUUGAGCUUGGUUCGAGAUCCAGGUUCUUCUGCUCAGCCAUACUAUCCAUAAGGCGAGGCGAUCCAGAGACUUCGAGGUAUAUCUGUCACGUCCGCAGACCUAGAAGUCCCUCUCUAUUCUCCUUUCAGUUAUAGACUUCUUGUAUUUUCCAUUGUUUAGACGUCUGGAAUUAGAAUACUAUGUAUUUUUCUUUAUCUUGUGAUUCAUGAGAUUUCGGGUUUUGGGAGUGCUAUGUUCAGUCGAGAGUGUUAUUAUUGUAUAUGCCGAGCGGUAUUUUAAACUCUUUUAUCAUAUUUACCUGUUAAUUGGCUA